rnacentral:rRNA from 1 species
GUUGGGUAGGGGAGCGUUCUGUAAGCCUGUGAAGGUGGCCUGUGAGGGUUGCUGGAGGUAUCAGAAGUGCGAAUGCUGACAUAAGUAACGAUAAAGCGGGUGAAAAGCCCGCUCGCCGGAAGACCAAGGGUUCCUGUCCAACGUUAAUCGGGGCAGGGUGAGUCGACCCCUAAGGCGAGGCCGAAAGGCGUAGUCGAUGGGAAACGGGUUAAUAUUCCCGUACUUGGUGUUACUGCGAAGGGGGGACGGAGAAGGCUAUGUUGGCCGGGCGACGGUUGUCCCGGUUUAAGCGUGUAGGUGUGUGUUCCAGGUAAAUCCGGUUCACUUUAACACUGAGGCGUGAUGACGAGGCACUACGGUGCUGAAGCAACAAAUGCCCUGCUUCCAGGAAAAGCCUCUAAGCAUCAGGUAACAUCAAAUCGUACCCCAAACCGACACAGGUGGUCAGGUAGAGAAUACCAAGGCGCUUGAGAGAACUCGGGUGAAGGAACUAGGCAAAAUGGUGCCGUAACUUCGGGAGAAGGCACGCUGACACGUAGGUGAAGUGAUUUACUCA